rnacentral:tRNA from 1 species
GGUGCUGUGUGGGGGGUAAUCCAGUUUCCUUGAUGUGGAAAAGAUUGAAUUUGUGUAUUCCAGCACUU